AGGCCUCGACUGUUUUCAUAGAUUUCAAAACAGAAUCUGCUUCAACAUCGAAAACCGGCACAAAAAUGCACGAUUUUUACAAGUUUUCCGCCGGAAUCGGCGUUUACUUAACGCUUCUAGUGUGUCUAAUUGGCAGGACCAGCUUGGCUAAUGAAAUCGAGCUCCCGAAGAAUUUCGUCGCCAGCUCUUCCCACACGAACAACUGGGCCGUCCUGGUGGAUACUUCGCGUUUCUGGUUUAACUACCGACAUAUUGCUAACGUACUGUCGGUUUACCGGUCCGUCAAACGGCUCGGCAUCCCGGACAGCCAGAUUCUGCUGAUGGUGGCCGACGACAUGGCGUGCAAUCCGAGGAAUCCGAGACCGGCCACGGUGUUCAACAACGCUAAUCAGCACAUAAACGUGUACGGCGCGGACGUGGAGGUCGAUUACCGGGGGUACGAGGUUACGGUGGAGAACUUUGUCCGGCUGUUGACGGGGAGGAAUGAGAAUGGGACGGCCCGGUCGAAGAGGUUGCUGUCGGAUGCGGGGAGUAACGUGCUGAUCUACUUGACGGGGCAUGGUGGCGAUGGGUUCUUGAAGUUCCAGGACUCGGAGGAGAUUACGAACCAGGAGUUGGCGGAUGCGAUUGAGCAGAUGUGGCAGAAGCAGCGGUACAACGAGUUGUUCUUCAUGAUCGAUACGUGCCAGGCGGCGUCGAUGUAUGAGAAGUUUUACUCGCCGAACAUUUUGGCGGUGGCCAGUAGUUUGGUGGGAGAGGAUUCGCUGUCGCAUCACGUGGAUCCAGCCAUCGGAGUGUACAUUAUCGAUCGGUACACGUACUACGCGCUGGAGUUUUUGGAGAAGGUCGAGGUCAACAGCAAGAAGACGAUGGGAGAGUUUCUCUCAGUUUGUCCCAAGCGCGUCUGCAUCUCAACGGUCGGCGUCCGGAAGGACCUCUACCCGAAGGACCCCCACAAGGUUCCCAUCACGGACUUUUUCGGCUCGAUCCGCCCUACGGAGAUUUCCUCCAGCGUAGUGAACGUCACCCUUUCCACCAUUCCCGAGGAGCAUUUAACGCCGGAACCGAUCAGCAAACCGAAUCCGGCCCUGUUUUACGAGCAGUUCCCGAGCAAACUGUUUGACUGAUUUAUUCGCCCACAUUCACAUUCUAGUCUCAGUAUUCGCGUAACACGAGGGAGAAAUGCAAACCCAACGGCCACUUCAAACGCAUCUUCCUUCCACAAACUCCCUCGCCAAACUGGCCUACUGCGAGUCCGCGACAGUGGCCAUCAGCCAGCGACAGUACUCCCGCGAGCUGCGCACGCGCUUCGCGGCCCCUACCCGCGUUCCAUGUGUGUUGAUGAGGAGGAAUCCAACGCAAAAAGAGAGAGAUUUCAGCACUCGUGUGAACUUCUACAGUACUGACAUAUAGUUUAGUCAACCGAAAAUCUACAAGUAGCUCAAAAGAGCCCCUCUCUCUCUCAGAGCUCUCAGAGCUUAGGUCGAUUGACAGUGGCAAGAAAAAGUAAAGGAGAAAAAAAGUAAGACUAGCAGCAGGAAUAGGCAAUAUUUUUCGGAACCGAACCCCGUCAGUCUGUCGAGGAGAGUCGAAUAUUAGCCUAGCUGGGAGGAGAAGAAAGUGUGUCUGUGUUUUUGGUAGGGAAAAGAAAGGUUGGAAAGAAACAAGUCCGUAGAAAACCACUUUUUGCGUGUUUUUUUGUGUUGAGAAAAGCGAAAAAUCAGCGAAAUCUAUCGGGGCAGAUUUUCGCCGUAAGGAAAAGCUUCGCGAGUGUGCCAUAGCCGAGAUUCUGCGAGGAGUGAUUAGUAGCUACACAUCUAGUCCAAAAUGGUAA